rnacentral:lncRNA from 1 species
AGAGCCGGUGGGCGGGCUUGGGCCUAGGGAAAUAGAGAAACAAACCCUGGCGCGUCGCCAAGGCAAUAGGAAAACCCCGGAGCUUGCGGAGACCCAACGGUUUGAGAUUCUAGAAAGUGUUUGGCGUCGUUGGGAAACACCUGCCGAGGGAGAGAGGCGUUGGAGGAAUCUUGGAAUAGAUGAGAUGAAACAAGAUAGGCCUUCAAGAAUGCAGAAUCGGGGAGGUCCUCCUCCAGACAGACUGCUCAGCACAGACCUGCUGCUAGCUGAAGCUUCAGGACCACAGGACCAGGCUGAUUAAACCAGAAUGUCAUGACUUCCUGGAGAACAAAAUAUUUAAUCCCACAAUUGCGGGGAAAAAAGAAGAGGAAGAAGAAGACGAAUCCCACAAUGAAGCUGUUGUGGGAUUACAGCCACUGUAAGCUCAUCCUGCCGAGGACAUCUGCAGUCAUUCCUGGUGCACUUCUGGAGUAUCUCCUUGGAAGUUUGGAAGAAGUUAGGCCUACAGACUCCUUCGCUCCACCGACAUUGUGGGACAAGGAAGUUCUACAGAGAACUGGCCUCCCUAGGUCACAUCUGACUCUGGUUUCUGUCUUUGUCAGUGUCUUUGUCUGUUGGUUUGUUUUUGUUUGUCCCCUUUGUGUUCUGUGUUAAUUUCUACCUCAGUUUGUUUCUAAUGUUAAUGGUUACAAAGCUUUUAACUGUGCUCACUAAAGCUUGCAUUAAAAUGUAAAGUGCUGUCAACAGACUAAAAGAAUUGUCAAAAGUAAAAGCUAAAGGUAAAAAAGGCAUUCCAGAGAUUUUCUUCAUUUAGGAACUGGGCCAGAUGGUCAACAGGGUACAUCAUGUCAGUUCCUAUAGAGGACAGAUUAAAACUGAAGUGUUUUAUAAAAUUAUUAUUCCUGAAUUGUAAAACAAAGCAUAAUUUUGUCUAGGAAAUUUGGCUUUUGUUUCUCAGUAUUUGCAAGCAUGUAUUAACUCCCAACUAUUAAAAAUGGUCUAUUUUUCAAUGUCAGGCUAAAAUUUGGUGGCCACUAUCCAAGAAACCAGAAAAACCAGUUUGAAAUGGGACCCCAACCUGGGGGACUCUCCCAAGGAGACCAAUGGAGCUGUGUCUUUGGGAAGUUCUUUCAGGGAAAAAUAAGGCCCCUUCAUUUGUCUAUGUUCCCUUAACACUUUCCAGCUUUGAUGAACAGGACGACCUCAGGAAAAAGGUCAGAAAGG